UACGUAGGGCGCAAGCGUUGUCCGGAAUGAUUGGGCGUAAAGAGCUCGUAGGCGGCUUGUCACGUCGGGUGUGAAAGCCCGGGGCUUAACCCCGGGUCUGCAUUCGAUACGGGCUGGCUGGAGUGUGGUAGGGGAGAUCGGAAUUCCUGGUGUAGCGGUGAAAUGCGCAGAUAUCAGGAGGAACACCGGUGGCGAAGGCGGAUCUCUGGGCCAUUACUGACGCUGAGGAGCGAAAGCGUGGGGAGCGAACAGG
rnacentral:rRNA from 1 species